AGGAGGAAAAUUACAAUUCAGAGUGAAUCCAAAGGGGCUAAGCGUCCUGAGAUUUCCACUGAUAAAUGAGAGCCCUCACCACAGACUGUGCCCCUGCCAGCACCUACAUUGCAUUGAUUACUGUCAGAACGAGGAAACAGAUUCAAUGGCCUCCCCAGGCAGAGGACAACAGUGAUGACGACAUGCCAGCAACAUAGACCAAGAAUUGAAUGAAGUUUGGUCAUUAAAACUCAAGCCUUGCAGAUGCUGGCCUAAUUGGAUUUAGAUGCAAUGCCCACUAGCUAUUGGAAGGAUGACCCAUGGUAUUUUGUCACAGCAAUAGAAAGCUGACCAAAAUUACAGCCUCGAAACAGGAACGAUGAGACAGACCACAUCACACCCAGAGAGGCUCAUGAACCAUCAAGAAGAGGGGGUGGAAAGACGUCAAAGUCAGAGGAGAGGUCAGGAAGGACCAGAGGGAAACAAUGUCUUUUGGACAAGACAAGAUGACUACAAUACAAACACUAGGGAAAGAAGGUCCAGGGCUAGAGAGACAGCUCAGAACAUGUUUCACCAGAGCCUGACUCUGGUCACUCAUUAGAACUUCUCACUGGGUCAAUGGAAAGAUAAAAAAGAAGACGGAGAAACCUGAACUAUUCCCUUCAGUUGCUGGCUGAUAACUCUGAAGUUUGGUAAUGGAGUAAGGGAAGUGAGCUUUCCUCAUCACCAGUAAGAUUUGAUUAAACCUGCUCUAUCUAGUCUCUAAUAUUGGAGAUAAUAAGUUGGCUGCAUGUCAAUUCAAAGGGAUGAUAUGUCAUUUAAAUAAAUGGUCUACAUCUGGACAUUCUUAUUCUAUUAAGAAAAUAAAAUGUAGGACCUAGUUAAAGAAUUGGAUUGCUUUCAAAAUGUUGACUUUGUAAAAUUUUAGUGGGCGUUGGUAGAAAAGCAGAAAGAACAGUCAAGGAAUUAGUUACCGGGGCGCAGAAGCUGUUAUUUAAAAGGCAAUAAUAUACCAUUUUGCAUAGACAGGAAGAAGUUUGGGCUAGUCCUGCCCUACCUAUUGUCAACAUCUACAGCUUUAACCAAAACCUUGGUUGGAUCUACACAAUGCAGGUACUUUUGGUAGAAAUCACAGAAGCAUUUUCUUUACACAGAAUUUUGUGAAUACAACACAGGGUUUGAAAAUGGCAGGCUAUUUCUCCUCUGCAACUUAUAAAAUGAUAAAAAAAAUUACUUAGGAGAAAACACAUUUAACACAUUCAUGUUGCUAUGAGUGCUGCUUCUGGCAUUGCUUCUAACUCCUCAUCCCUUCAUCUGGGGGCGUUGUGUGGCCAGGUGUGUCUCAGAGAGUGGUGCGUGCCUGGCUUCUGUUCAGGCCACCCUCUUCUUUCAUCCUCUCCUCUGGCAUAACUUCUGGUCUUCAGCAUCCCAUGACACUUUGCAUCCCAUUUCAGUGGUCACAUCCUCAUAAUGACGUGAGUAUCCUAAUUGUGUCCAUUCUCACUGUCACUUCUGUGACUGAUCACAAGCCAUACUUUUAAAGUGUCUUGACCAGCUGUACCUCUGCAACAAAUACAACUGCUGUUUCUGAUUUGCUCACACAGGGCAGAUUCCUUCAAGGCCAGGACAAAAGGCCCUCUCUCUUCACCAUAUUCCUCAAGCCCUUGUCACAUUGUUUACUGUGUCUGGGAUUGCAGGAUUUUUAUGCAGAACCACAGCCUUUAAACAACACAUUAAAAUCAACAGCAUUUUUGCUGAAAUUUCUACCAUCUGGCACUGUCUCUCUCACUCUGUUGAAGUCAUCAAUUGCAGAAUUUCUUCUGGGGUUUGCUUCCAAAUAUCUUUCUUAAUCUGAACCACAGGGCUUGCCACUUAACUACUGGUGUCUCUCACAUGUAGCUAUAGGACCAGAGCACAGCUUACCUAACUGCUAUAAUAUAGUGGGAUCUAGAAUUUUUUUGGAAAAGUAUAUCGUAGAUAAAACAGAAAUUGUUUUUUCCCCCCAGAGUAUUUCCUACAGAAAAUUCUUCCCCUUCCCCCCAAAAGUGUUUAGUAUUACCAUGCUGGUUUGUGUAUGGGUUCAAUGUGGCUUAACUCCUACACCAUCAGUUAUUCCCUGUAUACAUUCUGAAGCCAACAUCUGGCAAUUUGGGGUUCUUUAAAUCCUUUUGAGAUAAUGAAGAUGAGUUAAUGAUUAUGAUUCCUGUCCAGAUAAUCUUCUCAUUUUGCUGUUUUCCUUUUUUUCUAAUAUUAUACCAUGAUUUUUUUCAAGCAGAUAAAUGGAAAGAACAUCACAGUGAACAGUGAGUACUGUGUACUGCCAGCUAGAUUCUGUCAUUAAUAUUACCACAUUUGCUUUGCCAUGUGUGUAUAUAUACAGGCCCAUCCUUCUCUCCAACUGUACUCCAUCUGUCCUUUUGGUGGUGGGUAUUUCCACAUGCACUGAGGCACCAACAGGCUUCUUCCUUAGGUUUUCUCUCUGACUCUUUAAUCUGUCUUUUUUUUUAGCACUAUCCAUUUGACUAUGAUAAAUGUUUUCUUUACACUGAGUAGGAGUUAUGAGAAUAUUAACAUCGAGGAAUGAUGUGUUAAAGCUAGGCAAUGUCCUCUAGGCCAUUUUCCUCUUAUUCUCUUCCCAGCAUUCUGAGUUGGGAUGUGUUAAAACUCACAGCCCUAACUUCUGUCUCUUGAUUUCUUAAAAAAAAAUAUAUAUAUAUAACUUUCUAUUAUCAUACAACAUUCUAUGAACUUUCUUCAGAUCUAUCUUCCAGUUUAUAAAUAUUUCUCUUUACUCCAGUUUAAUUUGAAUCUACAAAACUCAUUAGAUGAGUUUCUCAUUUCAUAUGUAUACUUACUGCAAUAGAAUAUAACCUUUGAAGCGUAUUUAUGCAGCGUACGUAACAUCUGGAAUUCAUAGUAUACACACACACACACACACACACACACACAC